rnacentral:rRNA from 1 species
GACGAACGCUGGCGGCGCGCCUAAAACAUGCAAGUCGAACGAGAACCAGGAGCUUCGGCUCCUGGGGAAAGUGGCGAACGGGUGAGUAACACGUGAGGAACCUGCCCCGGAGACCGGGAUAAGCCGAGGAAACCUGGUCUAAUACCGGAUGUCCUCUUCCCACCGCCUGAUGGGAUGAGGAAAUGGUCUGCCGCUCCGGGAUGGCCUCGCGGCCUAUCAGCUUGUUGGUGAGGUAACGGCUCACCAAGGCAACGACGGGUAGCUGGUCUGAGAGGACGAUCAGCCACACUGGGACUGAGACACGGCCCAGACUCCUACGGGAGGCAGCAGUUAGGAAUCUUGCGCAAUGGGGGAAACCCUGACGCAGCGACGCCGCGUGCGGGAUGAAGGCCUUCGGGUUGUAAACCGCUUUCAGCAGGGACGAAAUUGACGGUACCUGCAGAAGAAGGCCCGGCCAACUACGUGCCAGCAGCCGCCGUAAGAC